rnacentral:rRNA from 1 species
AAACUAAUUUUAUUUGGCGGCAUUUCAUCUAAUUAGAGGAAUCUGUCUUUUAAUCGAUAAUCCACGAUAAAUUUCACUUCAUUUAUAAAUUUAUAUACCGCCAUUUAAAGAAUUAAUUAUAAAAUUUUAUUCUCAACAAAAUAUAAUAUGUUAGGUCAAGGUGCAGUUAAUAUUGAAGCUAAGAUGUAUUACAUUAAAUAAUAUUUAAAAUCAUUAAAUAAAUCUAAAAAAAUAGAAUUUAAAAGCAAUGUUAUAAUAAUAAUUUAUCAUGAAUCAGAUAACAAAUGUGCACACAUCGCCC